CCCUAUGCCACAAGUGCAGCCCUAAAAAGAAAAGAAAAGAAAAAAAGUUGGAAUCUCCCCUGUUCUUGGAGGAAGCACUUUGGGAUGCUCCUACCUGAAAUUUGGAAAAGGGGCCUUCAGUGAAUCAUUUGGGGAAGUGGAAUCCAUGUGGCAGUGUCUCAGUUCAACCAGUUCCUUCACCAUAAAGCAUUUUUAUUAUUUGAAUAGAGUGGAUAUGUUUCUUAGGAAAGAGCACCGUGUGAGAGAAUGAAUAACUGCUCAGUAAAAUUUAACUUCAUUGUAAUGACAGAUUUGCUCAGUUAUUUCCCCACAGAUACUGGACAUGCCUCAUGUUGUCCUGUGCCUGGCCCAGUGCCUGGAGCCACUACUGGGAACUCACUGAAUCAUACUGAAUGAAUGAGAUGAAUGCUGGGUCGAGCACCCAGGCUUCGAUUGGUGUUAUUUCCUGACCAGGCUUUCAGGAUCCCUGGAUCCCUGGAUCAAGAGACUUUCUUCCCCCCAGCUUGUUAGUCUGUGAAUUUUAAAUGGAGAAAAGUGAUGAUGUGAUGUUGCAAGUGUGAGAAGCGUGCUGCAGGAGAAUAACACAGAGAAUGCUGUGAGCAGGAAGAUGUUCUUGUAAAUGGUGUGGAUUUGGAAGUGCUGAGAAGCUGACAUCUGAUCCAAGACCUGGAGGAGGUCAAGGAUGAGCCUGUGUCCUUCUGGGGCAAGAAUAAAUUUAAAAAAAAAAAAAAAGAGAGAGAGAGACUUAAGGGCAUACUCCAGCCAAACAAUAUAACUGAUAGCUCUGUGGGGGUGGGGUGGGGUGGGAUGUAUAUUCCAGGAAGACAGAGAAUGUGAGCUUGUGGUUAUUGGCAGGUCAGUAUUUGUGGAUUAAGUGAAUAAACUCAAAAAAGGAAGCAGAAUGCUAUAGUGAGUGAUGAAACCAUGAAUACCUGGAAAAACUACAUUUAAAUAAUUGCUGUUCAUGGAGUCAUGAGGUUUAAUACUGUUAUGGUCUGAAUGUUUGUGCUCAUAUGUUCAUAUGUUGGAAUCCUAACCCCCAUGCUGAUGGUGUUAGGAGGUGGGGUGUUUGGGAGGUGAUUAGGUCAUGAGCGUGGAGCCCUCCUGAGUGGGAUUAGAGCCCUUAAAGAAGAGGCCUCACGAGCUCCCUAGCCUUCUCUGCUGCAUGAGGAUAAAAGAAGUCUGUGACCCAGAAGAGGGCCUUCAUCUGGUCAUGCUGGCCCCCCGAUCUUGGACAUUCAGCUUUAAGAACCAUGAGAAAUAAAUUUCUAUUGUUUA